rnacentral:rRNA from 1 species
UACAGAGGGUGCAAGCGUUAAUCGGAAUUACUGGGCGUAAAGCGUGCGUAGACGGUUAUGUAAGUCAGAUGUGAAAGCCCCGGGCUCAACCUGGGGAAUUGCAUUUGAGACUGCAUAGCUAGGGUGCGGAAGAGGGAAGCGGAAUUUCCGGUGUAGCGGUGAAAUGCGUAGAUAUCGGAAGGAACACCAGUGGCGAAAGCGGCUCCUGGUCCAGCACCGACGUCAGGCACGAAAGCGUGGGGAGCAAACAGG